rnacentral:tRNA from 1 species
UUUAUUUUGGCAGAUAAUAUGCAUUAAAUUUAGGAUUUAAUUAUAUAGAAAGGUCUAUAAAUAAUA